rnacentral:rRNA from 1 species
GACGAACGCUGGCGGCGUGCUUAACACAUGCAAGUCGAACGGACAGGCCCUGCUUUUGUGGGGUGCUCGAGUGGCGAACGGGUGAGUAAAACGUGAGUAACCUGCCCUUGUAUUUGGGAUAACUUCAGGAAACUGGGGAUAAUACCGGAUAGGAGCUCCUGCUGCAUGGUGGGGGUUGGAAAGUUUCGGCGGUUGGGGAUGGACUCGCGGCUUAUCCGCUUGUUGGUGGGGUAGUGGCUUACCAAGGCUUUGACGGGUAGCCGGCCUGAGAGGGUGACCGGCCACAAGGGGACUGAGAGACGGCCCAGACGCCUACGGGAGGCAGCAGGGGGGAAUAUUGCACAAUGGGCGGAAGUCUGAGGCAGAAACGCUGCGUGCGGGAUGACGGCCUUCGGGUGGUAAACAGCUUUCGCCGGUGACGAAGCGGGAGUGACGGUAAUGGGUAAAGAAGCACCGGCUAACUACGUG